AUAUAAAUAUAGGAUGCACUUUCUGCCCGACAUAAGAAAAUACAAAAGCAAAUUGAUAACAUUCGCGGUAAACACAUCGGAAUUGUCGGAUACCGAGUUUCAUCUCUUCCAUCUAAUAGUGCAAGUCAAGUUCAAAGCCUCUUUAGAAGGAGAGUGAAUAAAGUUCGCAAGGACUUCCUCGUUUGUUUUUUACAACUUUCAUUUUUUGCGUGGAAAUGCGUGUCGCUGUGAUUGGAGCCGGGGCUGCCGGUUUGGCUUCUGCCAGACAUUGCAAAAGCAAAGGGUUUUCCUGUGAUGUUUUUGAAUUACGUCCUGAGCUUGGAGGUACUUGGGUGUAUACGGAUGAUGUUGGAACUGACGAAUAUGGAUUUCCUGUAUAUUCGGCUAUGUACAAGGGGUUGAGGAUAUCCAAGUUUCAUGAAACAGUCAAGCAGCACUUCGGACUCCCCCUCACCCCAGUUGAAUCUUCAAACGAUUAAAAUGAAAGUGAUGAAGGUGAUAUAUUGUUUUAGUUUCGCAAGUUUGUUUUCAAAUUGAUACCUUUUUCAUUACUGAUAUUGGGAGUGAUUUCAAGGAACAAGACAUAUUUAAAUAAAUAGUGAUAUUCAG